rnacentral:rRNA from 1 species
GAUGAACGCUGGCGGCGUGCUUAACACAUGCAAGUCGAACGGUUAAAGCGGAGCUUGCUCUGCUGGAUCAGUGGCGAACGGGUGCGUAACACGUGAGCAAUCUGCCCCUGACUCUGGGAUAGGCGCUGGAAACGGCGUCUAAUACUGGAUACGAGCUGCGAAGGCAUCUUCAGCAGCUGGAAAGAACUUCGGUCAGGGAUGAGCUCGCGGCCUAUCAGCUUGUUGGUGAGGUAACGGCUCACCAAGGCGUCGACGGGUAGCCGGCCUGAGAGGGUGACCGGCCACACUGGGACUGAGACACGGCCCAGACUCCUACGGGAGGCAGCAGUGGGGAAUAUUGCACAAUGGGCGAAAGCCUGAUGCAGCAACGCCGCGUGAGGGACGACGGCCUUCGGGUUGUAAACCUCUUUUAGCAGGGAAGAAGCGAAAGUGACGGUACCUGCAGAAAAAGCGCCGGCUAACUACGUG